CAGGCCUAACACAUGCAAGUCGAGCGGACUUAUCCUUCGGGAUAGGUUAGCGGCGGACGGGUGAGUAACACGUAGGCAACCUGCCUGUAAGAUCGGGAUAACUACCGGAAACGGUAGCUAAGACCGGAUAGCUGGUUUCUCCGCAUGGGGGAAUCAUGAAACAUGGGGCAACCUAUGGCUUACGGAUGGGCCUGCGGCGCAUUAGCUAGUUGGUGGGGUAAUGGCCCACCAAGGCGACGAUGCGUAGCCGACCUGAGAGGGUGAUCGGCCACACUGGGACUGAGACACGGCCCAGACUCCUACGGGAGGCAGCAGUAGGGAAUCUUCCGCAAUGGGCGCAAGCCUGACGGAGCAACGCCGCGUGAGUGAUGAAGGUUUUCGGAUCGUAAAGCUCUGUUGCCAAGGAAGAACGCCUCGGAGAGUAACUGCUCUGAGGGUGACGGUACUUGAGAAGAAAGCCCCGGCUAACUACGUGCCAGCAGUCGCGGUAAUACGUAGGGGGCAAGCGUUGUCCGGAAUUAUUGGGCGUAAAGCGCGCGCAGGCGGUCUUUUAAGUUUGGUGUUUAAGCCCGGGGCUCAACCCCGGUUCGCACUGAAAACUGGGAGACUUGAGUGCAGGAGAGGAAAGCGGAAUUCCACGUGUAGCGGUGAAAUGCGUAGAGAUGUGGAGGAACACCAGUGGCGAAGGCGGCUUUCUGGACUGUAACUGACGCUGAGGCGCGAAAGCGUGGGGAGCAAACAGGAUUAGAU
rnacentral:rRNA from 1 species